CGGGGGCUCUGCUGGUCAUGGCUGGAGUCGCACACACGGCUGGGGCUUGGCUGGCUGCUGGCCGAUCUAGGCUGGCCUGGUCAGGAGGAGUCAGGCCUCUCAGUCUGGUCCACGAGCCCCUCAUCCGCCAGGCUAGUUUAUUCGUGUGCUUCUCACAGUGACAGUGGGGGCAGGAGGGAGUAAGCGCAGCCCCUUGAAGCAUUUCAAGCCUUCGUGGGGAUCACGGGUGCUGACGUCUCGCCGGCCAAAGCCUGCAGCGUGUGGUCCCGAGUCCGUGUGGGAGGGCGCUGCAGGGUCACGGGGUACCAUGUUCAGAAAACGCUGGGGAUCUUUGAUUCAGCGAUCCCGCCGCCAGCAACUUUGUAUCCUAAGGAAGUCACCGGGCAGUGGACAAAGACGUGUGCACAAGGAUCCUCCUCCGGCCAGAGGCUGCAACCCUCAAUGGACAUCAGUCAAAGGCCAGGUUCAAAGUCAGAAUUCAUGCAAUCGUGGUCAUCUUUUCAUUAUUUUGUCUAUAACGUGGUGAUGAUUUUCAAGACACACUCUCAAGGUUUUUUAAACUCAGACAUUUCUUCCUAUUGCAUCUUUGACUAAUGCUGGAGCUACAAUGACCGCCUCUCAGGAUGGAGAUUGUAAUUAACUGAGAUUCACCCCACAGUGCAAUUAGGAUGCCUAUUGUUAGAUCCAACACCUGCGAUCUUCCAGAGUACACGAGACAUUUCCACCUCAGUGAAAGAGGCUGCGAGACUCAACUUGAACCUCUAGGAAACCACCAGGCUUUUGGUCUCAUCCGAAACAACCGCCGACUCUCAUGGAACAUUCUGCGACUAGAGAUACGCGUUCUGAACUUCCAAUGAGUGAGAAAGCAUAAAAAUUCAGCAACUGAUGAACUCUUUCUUUCUACAAGUGCAAUUAGCCCAGCUAAGUAACUAUAAACAGGAGAAAAGAGGACCUCUUAAGAGAGGAAGAACUUUUCCAAGCAGUUAUUAAAGACCCAUCUACAAAUUAUGUAUAUGCUAAUUAUAAAUCAGGCACUCUAGAAACGCCCAUUGAUAAAUGAUUUCU